GUUAUAUGGUCAAGUGAAGAAGCGCAUACGGUGGAUGCCUUGGCAGUCAGAGGCGAUGAAGGACGUGGUAGCCUGCGAAAAGCUUCGGGGAGUCGGCAAACAGACUUUGAUCCGGAGAUGUCUGAAUGGGGGAACCCAGCCAUCAUAAGAUGGUUAUCUUACGCUGAAUACAUAGGCGUAAGAGGCGAACCAGGGGAACUGAAACAUCUAAGUACCCUGAGGAAAAGAAAUCAACCGAGAUUCCCUUAGUAGUGGCGAGCGAACGGGGACUAGCCCUUAAGUGGCUUUGAGAUUAGCGGAACGCUCUGGAAAGUGCGGCCAUAGUGGGUGAUAGCCCUGUACGCGAAAAUCUCUUAGUCAUGAAAUCGAGUAGGACGGAGCACGAGAAACUUUGUCUGAAUAUGGGGGGACCAUCCUCCAAGGCUAAAUACUACUGACUGACCGAUAGUGAACUAGUACCGUGAGGGAAAGGCGAAAAGAACCCCGGAGAGGGGAGUGAAAUAGAUCCUGAAACCGUAUGCGUACAAGCAGUGGGAGCCCACUUUGUUGGGUGACUGCGUACCUUUUGUAUAAUGGGUCAGCGACUUAUUUUCAGUGGCGAGCUUAACCGAAUAGGGGAGGCGUAGCGAAAGCGAGUCUUAAUAGGGCGUCUAGUCGCUGGGAAUAGACCCGAAACCGGGCGAUCUAUCCAUGGGCAGGUUGAAGGUUGGGUAACACUAACUGGAGGACCGAACCGACUACCGUUGAAAAGUUAGCGGAUGACCUGUGGAUCGGAGUGAAAGGCUAAUCAAGCUCGGAGAUAGCUGGUUCUCCUCGAAAGCUAUUUAGGUAGCGCCUCAUGUAUCACUGUAGGGGGUAGAGCACUGUUUCGGCUAGGGGGUCAUCCCGACUUACCAAACCGAUGCAAACUCCGAAUACCUACAAGUGCCGAGCAUGGGAGACACACGGCGGGUGCUAACGUCCGUCGUGAAAAGGGAAACAACCCAGACCGUCAGCUAAGGUCCCAAAGUUAUGGUUAAGUGGGAAACGAUGUGGGAAGGCUUAGACAGCUAGGAGGUUGGCUUAGAAGCAGCCACCCUUUAAAGAAAGCGUAAUAGCUCACUAGUCGAGUCGGCCUGCGCGGAAGAUGUAACGGGGCUCAAACCAUACACCGAAGCUACGGGUAUCACGUAAGUGAUGCGGUAGAGGAGCGUUCUGUAAGCCUGUGAAGGUGAGUUGAGAAGCUUGCUGGAGGUAUCAGAAGUGCGAAUGCUGACAUGAGUAACGACAAUGGGUGUGAAAAACACCCACGCCGAAAGACCAAGGUUUCCUGCGCAACGUUAAUCGACGCAGGGUUAGUCGGUCCCUAAGGCGAGGCUGAAAAGCGUAGUCGAUGGAAAACAGGUUAAUAUUCCUGUACUUCUGGUUAUUGCGAUGGAGGGACGGAGAAGGCUAGGCCAGCUUGGCGUUGGUUGUCCAAGUUUAAGGUGGUAGGCUGGAAUCUUAGGUAAAUCCGGGAUUCUAAGGCCGAGAGCUGAUGACGAGUCAUCUUUUAGAUGACGAAGUGGUUGAUGCCAUGCUUCCAAGAAAAGCUUCUAAGCUUCAGGUAACCAGGAACCGUACCCCAAACCGACACAGGUGGUUGGGUAGAGAAUACCAAGGCGCUUGAGAGAACUCGGGUGAAGGAACUAGGCAAAAUGGCACCGUAACUUCGGGAGAAGGUGCGCCGGUGAGGGUGAAGGACUUGCUCCGUAAGCUCAUGCCGGUCGAAGAUACCAGGCCGCUGCGACUGUUUAUUAAAAACACAGCACUCUGCAAACACGAAAGUGGACGUAUAGGGUGUGACGCCUGCCCGGUGCCGGAAGGUUAAUUGAUGGGGUUAGCUAACGCGAAGCUCUUGAUCGAAGCCCCGGUAAACGGCGGCCGUAACUAUAACGGUCCUAAGGUAGCGAAAUUCCUUGUCGGGUAAGUUCCGACCUGCACGAAUGGCGUAACGAUGGCGGCGCUGUCUCCACCCGAGACUCAGUGAAAUUGAAAUCGCUGUGAAGAUGCAGUGUAUCCGCGGCUAGACGGAAAGACCCCGUGAACCUUUACUAUAGCUUUGCACUGGACUUUGAAUUUGCUUGUGUAGGAUAGGUGGGAGGCUUUGAAGCGUGGACGCCAGUCUGCGUGGAGCCAACCUUGAAAUACCACCCUGGCAACUUUGAGGUUCUAACUCAGGUCCGUUAUCCGGAUCGAGGACAGUGUAUGGUGGGUAGUUUGACUGGGGCGGUCUCCUCCUAAAGAGUAACGGAGGAGUACGAAGGUGCGCUCAGACCGGUCGGAAAUCGGUCGUAGAGUAUAAAGGCAAAAGCGCGCUUGACUGCGAGACAGACACGUCGAGCAGGUACGAAAGUAGGUCUUAGUGAUCCGGUGGUUCUGUAUGGAAGGGCCAUCGCUCAACGGAUAAAAGGUACUCCGGGGAUAACAGGCUGAUACCGCCCAAGAGUUCAUAUCGACGGCGGUGUUUGGCACCUCGAUGUCGGCUCAUCACAUCCUGGGGCUGAAGCCGGUCCCAAGGGUAUGGCUGUUCGCCAUUUAAAGUGGUACGCGAGCUGGGUUUAGAACGUCGUGAGACAGUUCGGUCCCUAUCUGCCGUGGACGUUUGAGAUUUGAGAGGGGCUGCUCCUAGUACGAGAGGACCGGAGUGGACGAACCUCUGGUGUUCCGGUUGUCACGCCAGUGGCAUUGCCGGGUAGCUAUGUUCGGAAUAGAUAACCGCUGAAAGCAUCUAAGCGGGAAACUAGCCUCAAGAUGAGAUCUCACUGGAACCUUGAGUUCCCUGAAGGGCCGUCGAAGACUACGACGUUGAUAGGUUGGGUGUGUAAGCGCUGUGAGGCGUUGAGCUAACCAAUACUAAUUGCCCGUGAGGCUUGACCAUAUAACACCCAAGCAAUU
rnacentral:rRNA from 1 species